rnacentral:piRNA from 1 species
UCGAUCAGAAACGGUUGAGCG